UACGUAGGGCGCAAGCGUUAUCCGGAAUUAUUGGGCGUAAAGAGCUCGUAGGCGGUUUGUCGCGUCGACUGUGAAAACCUACAGCUUAACUGUGGGCUUGCAGUCGAUACGGGCAGACUUGAGUUCGGUAGGGGAGACUGGAAUUCCUGGUGUAGCGGUGAAAUGCGCAGAUAUCAGGAGGAACACCGGUGGCGAAGGCGGGUCUCUGGGCCGAUACUGACGCUGAGGAGCGAAAGCGUGGGGAGCGAACAGG
rnacentral:rRNA from 1 species